GUAGGUGCAAUGAUGCCAGCUAGCUCAGAAGCUUGAGAAAAUUCAAUGAGACAAUCAUAGAAAGACAUUUAUUAGAGUACCUGGGAUAGUGAACUUUCACAAAUCUGACAAAUUUUGGAUCAUUUGUUUUCCUUUCAGGAUGCACUCUCUAUUCUUACUCUAGUGUUUAGGUGCCCUGGGAGGACUUGAAGCAACAGAGACUUUUAAUACACUAAGGAUGGCCUACUCCUGCAAUCUGAAAGCCCUAGGGCCAGGGCCUAGAGAACAACCAGUCUCUGAAGGAGUUACAGUAUUUGGCUGUUGGGCAGAGGCCAGGGGAAAUUGGAGUAUCCAGGGAAAAAGUAGGAUGAUAAAGUAUCUGACAGAAGAGAGCUUCAAGUGGAAGUUUUUGUACAGUAUUUACCAAGACUCCACGCUGUUAUCUUUGGUCUUGUGUGACUCUUACUGAUCCUUCUGAAGAAUCAUACAUAAAUCCUUCUUCUAUUGGACUACUGGGCAUAGACCAUCAGAAAUAGUUAAAAGAGAAAACUCCAAGGAUAUGCAUAACUGAUCUGGGAAUUGGGGGGUUAGACUGAUGGAUUUUUCAAAGCAAGGGUCACCCCAAAAGGACUGAAGAACGUGACACAAGGAGAAAAGAUUGGGCUGAUCUGAUGAUGACCAAUAUCUUCUUCUGGAAAUGAUGGAAAAUGAAGGGAACAAGAAUAUAAGAAUAUUUCAGAUCAAAAAUCAGAAAUAAAGAAUGACAGCUUUCUAUCAGGUAUAAGGCUGUGGCUUUGUAGAAAACUCUGGAGGACUCCCUUCAAGGUUGCAGGGCUCACCUGCAAGUGGAAUCAAUCAGUGCUCAGCUCUCCAAGAAGCAAAUGAAAGUGACAAAUGUAUGCCACAUGCUCAGGACAAAGAACCAGGUGAAGAUCACUACUUGAUAUAAAACUACUAACAAGAGAGAUAUUUGCAUGUAUGCAAUAAAGUCAGAGGUAGACAAUUAAAUUUGUCAAUUUAGAUCCUUCAAGGGUCAGUAGGACAGAUUUCAUGAAAGCUCAUAAGAAAGGAG
ensembl:lncRNA